CUGUGUGGAUGUAAUAUUCAGUCUGGCCUGCCCACUGAGGUUUAAAGGGCUGCGGUAAUUUGACCGUGCAAAGGUAGCAUAAUCAAUAGUCUUUUAAUUGGAGGCUUGGAUGAAAGGUUUGACGGAUGAGGAGCUGUCUCUUUAGUUGUAUUGAAGUUAACGUUUGUGUGAAAAGGCAUUAAUGGUUUAGAGGGACGAUAAGACCCUAUAAAACUUAACAUGUAUGGUGCUAGCUUUUGGAGUUGUUUUGUAAUUAUGAGGUGGCCGGGUGUGUUUUGCUGGGGCGGCAUGAAUAUAAUUUGUAACUGUUUUAGGAAAAAAAUAUUGAUUAAUAGAUUUUGGUCCUUUAUUAGGGAGUUAAGAGUAAGUUACUUUAGGGAUAACAGCGUAAUUUUUCUUGAGAGUUCUUAUCGAAGGAAGUAG
rnacentral:rRNA from 1 species